rnacentral:rRNA from 1 species
GCUCAGUAACACGUGGAUAACCUACCCUUAGGACCGGGAUAACCCUGGGAAACUGGGGAUAAUACCGGAUAUAUGGAGAUACCUGGAAUGGUUCUCCACUUAAAGCUCCGGCGCCUAAGGAUGGAUCUGCGGCAGAUUAGGUCGUUGGUGGGGUAAUGGCCCACCAAGCCUGUAAUCUGUACGGGUUGUGAGAGCAAGAGCCCGGAGAUGGAACCUGAGACAAGGUUCCAGGCCCUACGGGGCACAGCAGGCGCGUAACCUCCGCAAUGCGAGCAAUCGCGACGGGGGGACCCCAAGUGCCACUCUUAACGGGGUGGCUUUUCAUAAGUGUAAAAAGCUUUUGGAAUAAGAGCUGGGCAAGACCGGUGCCAGCAGCCGCGGUAAU